CAGGGCUAUACAGAGAAACCCUGUCUCGAAAAAAAAAAAAAAAUCUGGCUUCUUGGGGCUGAGGAGUUGAGUGUCUUCUUUAGAAAUUAAACCAUAGUAUUUACAUAGAGAAGGAGAUCUUUAAUAGUGAAGCUUUAAAGAGUAACUAUUGCUCAAGCAUUGGUGGUUGCCAAAAUUAGUCCUCUAAGCAAGGGCCACACAGUAGCACCAGAACUGGCAGGCUCUUACAAGCCUGAGUGGACACAAGGUCUGUUGUAGUUUCGUGAAGAAACCCAGGAAUCUGGGGCCAUCAGUGCUGUUACAGCCACAGCUCCAACACUAAUGCUUCCCUAGCUAUGGUCCUGUGGCUCCUCACUUGCCACUGUGCCUUUUACCUCAGGAUGAGCCCAAGAGCACAAGAGCACAGUGUGUGGUUGAAUCCAUUCUGUUCCGUGUGGUGACUUUCACAUGAAUAUUAAAGGCUCAGGUAAAGCAGGACCACUUAGACCACACAUAGUCAAGUUGUAUACAGCUUCUCAUAUGCAGAUUAAAGUAGAUUGUGCUUUGUGCAUAUAUUCAGAUUAGUCAUCUCCAGAUUGGGGUCAUAAGGCAGUUUUUCUGUUUCCUUCCUUUAAUUUCAGCAUUUUGUUUGUUUGUUUGCUUGUAUGUAGUUUCCUAAACGGGAUGGGUAUGUAUUGCUUACGUGAACAGAGAAAAACAAUGUUUUGCAAAUGCUAAUUUUAUAUUGAGGUAUAUAAAAUAUAAAAUAAAAAUGUGGUUCCAGGCUUGCAUAAAUAACUAAUGCUAUUAGUAGGUAAACUCAAGUUUAACAGACCAGCUUCUAGCUUGGCAUUGGAUUUUUAAGAAAAGACAAUUCCUCAAUAUCUUUGUAAUGGUUGGAUUCCUGCAAAGUCCAUUGGUAUCAGAUUGGUGCAUAUGUCCUACCCAAUAGGUCCCACCUGUUUCAAACUGCUAUCAUACGGAGUCCAUUAAAUUUACUUCAUAAUUAAAAGAUAAAACUUAAGCCAGACAUGGUAGCAUAUCUUUAAUCCCAGUACUUGAGAGGCCAAGGCAGAAGGAUCAGGAGGCAGGAGUUUGAAGCCAGCUUAGCUAUAAUGUGAGAUUCUGUUUCUAAUAAUAAGAAAUAAUAAUAAUUUUUGCCAAAUCACAGAACAUUUCAAUCAGUUCACUUUUUUAUUUUAAAUUUAUAUUCUUUUCUAAAUUAAACCCUAGGGUUGGGACAUAAAUCCCCAAUAAUUAGGAGGACAUAGACACAGGUCAUCUUAGAACUUCCACAUAUACCUGAAAAGCUUGAACAAUAGUCAGAUAUUGGCAUGUGUACAGCCUUUGAGUCACUGUCUUCAUAAUUCCUAGAUCUAAUGUUUUUGAAGGCCACAUAUUGCUGCCUUCAGCAAACCUGAGCCAAGAAAAUGAACUGAAGUACCAUGUUAGGGUGACAGGAAAGCAUUUGUAUAGACUGCUGUCAGCGCUUAUAUUAACUUCAGAAACAUCAGAAUGCUAUGUGGUAGCUUCAGACACCCUUGAAUUUUGACAGGAAGCUGAAAAUCUUCUUAUCAAAGGAAAGGUUGAAGUUUAAAAUAACUCUAGCUAGGUGUGGUAGCUCACAGAGGUGGAUCUCUCUGUUCAAGGCCAGCCUGCUCUUCAAAGUGAGCUACAUAGAGAAACCCUGUCUCGAAAAACCAAAAAUAAAAUAAAUGACUCUAAGCUGGGUGCAGUGAUGUACGUUAAACAACCCUUGGAAAAAUAAUGUCUGUGGUAGAUCUUUUUCUGAUAUAUACAUAUUUUAAUUGCCAUUUCUACUUUCUGUUUUUAAUCAUUUUUAGUUUUGGUGCUUUUUAAGUUCAUUAAUUUGCCUCUAGCAGUCUCUUAAUCUAAUUUUGAAUCAUUUAAGCCAUCACAGUGCCUUGAGUGUUCUGGAACUUAAUGAUGUUAUGUAAAUUCUUUAAGAUUACCUUAUCCCUGUGUUAAACUGGGAAUAAUAACCUCAGUUUACAAAGGCAUUGACUGCUGUCUUUGCUGAAGAUGUUUUGUGGGAUGUUUUCAAGUGAAUGGUCUUGGGUCAUAGAUAUAUGCAAAUGAUAUACAUCCUGUAGCCUAAGGCUUUUUGGAGUUCUGAGAAUUCCAAAAGGAAGGAUUGAACUGAU
rnacentral:lncRNA from 1 species